CGUGGGUAACCUGCCUUAUAGUGGGGGAUAGCCUUUCGAAAGGAAGAUUAAUACGCAUAAGAUUGUAGUAUCGCAUGAUAUAGCAAUUAAAGGAGCAAUUCGCUAUAAGAUGGACCCGCGUCGCAUUAGCUAGUUGGUGAGGUAAGUGGCUCACCAAGGCGACGAUGCGUAGCCGACCUGAGAGGGUGAUCGGCCACAUUGGGACUGAGACACGGCCCAGACUCCUACGGGAGGCAGCAUG
rnacentral:rRNA from 1 species